rnacentral:rRNA from 1 species
UACGUAGGGGGGCUAGCGUUGUCCGGAUUUAUUGGGCGUAAAGAGCGUGUAGGCGGCCAGGUAGGUCUGCCGUGAAAAACUCGAGGCUCAACCUCGAGACGUCGGCGGAAACCAUCUGGCUAGAGUCCGGAAGAGGAGAGUGGAAUUCCUGGUGUAGCGGUGAAAUGCGCAGAUAUCAGGAAGAACACCCGUGGCGAAGGCGGCUCUCUGGGACGGUACUGACGCUGAGACGCGAAAAGCGUGGGGAGCGAACAGGG